rnacentral:tRNA from 1 species
GCCACCGUAGCUCAGUCGGUAGAGCAUCUGCAUGGUAAGCAGAAGGUCCGCAGUUCGAUUCUGCGCGGUGGCUCCA